rnacentral:rRNA from 1 species
AUUGAACGCUGGCGGCAUGCCCUACACAUGCAAGUCGAACGGUAACGGGCCUUCGGGUGCCGACGAGUGGCGCACGGGUGAGUAAUACAUCGGAACGUGCCCGAUCGUGGGGGAUAACGAGGCGAAAGCUUUGCUAAUACCGCAUACGAUCUACGGAUGAAAGCAGGGGACCGCAAGGCCUUGCGCGGACGGAGCGGCCGAUGGCAGAUUAGGUAGUUGGUGGGAUAAAAGCUUACCAAGCCGACGAUCUGUAGCUGGUCUGAGAGGAUGAUCAGCCACACUGGGACUGAGACACGGCCCAGACUCCUACGGGAGGCAGCAGUGGGGAAUUUUGGACAAUGGGCGCAAGCCUGAUCCAGCCAUGCCGCGUGCAGGAUGAAGGCCUUCGGGUUGUAAACUGCUUUUGUACGGAACGAAAAGCCUUCUUUUAAUACAGGAGGGUCAUGACGGUACCGUAAGAAUAGGCACCGGCUAACUACGUG